rnacentral:rRNA from 1 species
GAUGAACGCUGGCGGCGUGCCUAAUACAUGCAAGUCGAGCGAACGGACGAGAAGCUUGCUUCUCUGAUGUUAGCGGCGGACGGGUGAGUAACACGUGGAUAACCUACCUAUAAGACUGGGAUAAUUUCGGGAAACCGGAGCUAAUACCGGAUAAUAUUUUGAACCGCAUGGUUCAAAAGUGAAAGACGGUCUUGCUGUCACUUAUAGAUGGAUCCGCGCUGCAUUAGCUAGUUGGUAAGGUAACGGCUUACCAAGGCAACGAUGCAUAGCCGACCUGAGAGGGUGAUCGGCCACACUGGAACUGAGACACGGUCCAGACUCCUACGGGAGGCAGAAGUAGGGAAUCUUCCGCAAUGGGCGAAAGCCUGACGGAGCAACGCCGCGUGAGUGAUGAAGGUCUUCGGAUCGUAAAACUCUGUUAUUAGGGAAGAACAUAUGUGUAAGUAACUGUGCACAUCUUGACGGUACCUAAUCAGAAAGCCACGGCUAACUACGUG